AUUAAACCGUUGAGCAAGAGAAGUACGAAAAAUUGGGUAUAUCCAGAGAGCUGUUAGUUGGUGUGAAUGCAGCAGUACAGAUUUUUCCGAAUGGACUUGCGAGGGCAGCUUGAAACUGUGAUGCAGGAGUAGACGCUGACGGGAACCUCGUCCGUUAUCAGUGAGGUGCAUAUGAUAGUAUGCAAAAUGAGGUGGACGAUAUUUUAUCGUCAAUUUGGGUGGUAGCGCAGAAGUUAUAAGCUUUUGUCCCUUUA
rnacentral:ncRNA from 1 species